ACUCCUACGGGAGGCAGCAGUGGGGAAUUUUGGACAAUGGGCGAAAGCCUGAUCCAGCCAUGCCGCGUGCAGGAUGAAGGCCUUCGGGUUGUAAACUGCUUUUGUACGGAACGAAACGGCCUUUUCUAAUAAAGAGGGCUAAUGACGGUACCGUAAGAAUAAGCACCGGCUAACUACGUGCCAGCAGCCGCGGUAAUACGUAGGGUGCAAGCGUUAAUCGGAAUUACUGGGCGUAAAGCGUGCGCAGGCGGUUAUGUAAGACAGUUGUGAAAUCCCCGGGCUCAACCUGGGAACUGCAUCUGUGACUGCAUAGCUAGAGUACGGUAGAGGGGGAUGGAAUUCCGCGUGUAGCAGUGAAAUGCGUAGAUAUGCGGAGGAACACCGAUGGCGAAGGCAAUCCCCUGGACCUGUACUGACGCUCAUGCACGAAAGCGUGGGGAGCAAACAGGAUUAGAAACCCCGGUAGUCCCA
rnacentral:rRNA from 1 species